CUUUCCAAGCCUGGAUGCAAGCUUCUGCUCAGAGGGUUCUGAGAGGGUCUGACCCAGGCUCGGGGCUCGAAACGCCGUUGCCCAGAGGAAAGGAGGGUUCCGUCGUAAAUCAGCCAGCAGUGGUCCAGAUGGCGUGACCCUGCGUGUCCAGCCAACCAGCAAGCCCACACGCGUGUCCAGCCAACCAGCAAGCCCACACGUGUGUCCAGCCAACCAGCAAGCCCACACGGCCCACAGGCUCAGGCCUUGUGAAACGCCUAGACGCCUCUCAAGCACUCUGCUCACCAAGCUACCUGCAGUUUAUGGGUGGGGGACACAGGACAGCCCAUGCAAUUUAUCGCUUAAAGUUCAAACAUAAUUAGAAACCAGUGGCGAUAAACGUGAAUAUUUGCAGCAACCAGCAAAACCGUGUUAUCACAAAUAUGAGUAAGUUAACAAAUAUAUUUACAAGACUUCGGAGCGUGCUAGUGAGGAAAGGAGGCAGAGGCCAAAAGUCUGAUCUGUUUUGCAAAGACUGUAUGAUUUGAUAAUAGAAAUAGGGGCCACGGAAACGCUGACUGUGAGACGGACUCAGAGCCUGUGAGACAGGGAGCCUCGGUGUGGCCCGGGCCUGACAGAACCACAGCUUUCUGGGCCCUCAGAUAGUCCUCCUGGAGGCACUGUGGUGGGACGAAGCGGGCUAACUGUGGUCUUGAUUGGUGGGGACGCCUGAGACGGCGGAGCUGCAAAGCGGCGGGAUGAGGCCGCUGGCCCUGCAGCCCGGCUUCCAGGAGGGAGGGGAGUGUUGCGUAGGCAGACUGCGGGGAGCGGGGCUGGGCCGGUGGCUCCACAGGGCUCAGCCAGGGAGUCAAGCAGAAAUGAUUUCUUCUGUGUUACUUGGUCGCUCAACCAGGAAAGAGGAACUCUUUCUACUCUUUAUCAUCUGCUAUUUACUCAGUGCAAGAGGCAGUGCCCAGCGCCUGGAAAGUCCCGUGAACAAACUGGAAAUUCUGGCUCCUGAGGGGAUCUGUUCACAGAAUUUUAUUUUCACUGGUUGUCGAGAGAAUGGUUAAGAUUGCCUAGUUUGGGGUUUCCAUUUUUUUGAGUUUUGUACAGUUUUUUGGUAUUUAAAAGAACUGCAAAUUUGUGUUAGAGCAGUAGGAUUAAGAUAAUCUUUUUCUUUUUUUCUUGUUCCCUUUAUUUUAAAAAACAAAAUAUGCUAAGGGAAAACUGAAUACAAGAAUAAAAUAUCCAUAAAACAA
ensembl:lncRNA